rnacentral:rRNA from 1 species
UCGAGGGGUAUUGGUUUUCGGACCAGAGACCGGCGCACGGGUGCGUAACGCGUAUGCAAUCUACCUUUUACAGAGGGAUAGCCCAGAGAAAUUUGGAUUAAUACCUCAUAGUAUUACGACUCGGCAUCGAGAUGUAAUUAAAGUCACAACGGUAAAAGAUGAGCAUGCGUCCCAUUAGCUUGUUGGUAAGGUAAUGGCUUACCAAGGCAACGAUGGGUAGGGGUCCUGAGAGGGAGAUCCCCCACACUGGUACUGAGACACGGACCAGACUCCUACGGGAGGCAGCAGUGAGGAAUAUUGGUCAAUGGGCGCAAGCCUGAACCAGCCAUGCCGCGUGUAGGAUGAAGCAUCUAUGGUGUGUAAACUACUUUUGUACAGGAAGAAACACUCGGUCGUGACCGAGCUUGACGGUACUGUAAGAAUAAGGACCGGCUAACUCCAUGCCAGCAGCCGCGGUAAUACGGAGGGUCCAAGCGUUAUCCGGAAUCAUUGGGUUUAAAGGGUCCGUAGGCGGUUUAGUAAGUCAGUGGUGAAAGCCCAUCGCUCAACGGUGGAACGGCCAUUGAUACUGCUAGACUUGAAUUGUUGGGAAGUAACUAGAAUAUGUAGUGUAGCGGUGAAAUGCUUAGAUAUUACAUGGAAUACCAAUUGCGAAGGCAGGUUACUAUCAACACAUUGACGCUGAUGGA